UAGGGAAUCUUCCACAAUGGGCGAAAGCCUGAUGGAGCAACGCCGCGUGUGUGAUGAAGGGUUUCGGCUCGUAAAACACUGUUGUAAGAGAAGAAUGACGUUGAGAGUAACUGUUCAAUGUGUGACGGUAUCUUACCAGAAAGGAACGGCUAAAUACGCGCCAG
rnacentral:rRNA from 1 species